AACGAACGCUGGCGGCAGGCUUAACACAUGCAAGUCGAACGCCCCGCAAGGGGAGUGGCAGACGGGUGAGUAACGCGUGGGAAUCUACCCAGAACUUCGGAACAACUGAGGGAAACUCCAGCUAAUACCGGAUACGCCCUACGGGGGAAAGAUUUAUCGGUUUUGGAUGAGCACGCGUUGGAUUAGCUAGUUGGUGGGGUAAUGGCCUACCAAGGCGACGAUCCAUAGCUGGUCUGAGAGGAUGAUCAGCCACACUGGGACUGAGACACGGCCCAGAGUCCUACGGGAGGCAGCAGGGUGGAAUAUUGGACAAUGGGCGAAAGCCUGAUCCAGCCAUGCCGCGUGAGUGAUGAAGGCCUUAGGGUUGUAAAGCUCUUUCAGUGGGGAAGAUAAUGACGGUACCCACAGAAGAAGCCCCGGCUAACUUCGUGCCAGCCGCCGCGGUAAAAC
rnacentral:rRNA from 1 species